AUUAAUGUUACCACCUUCGGCCAUUAGAUAACAAUUUAUCUAGAUCCCGCUCUGAUACCAAUUGAAAGUUUUGAGGAGCCCAAGGAUCUAUCUAGAUUGUAUCUAUCACCUAGGGGGGGGUGAAUAGGUGUAACGGCCAAAAACCACAAAUCUCGAUGCAAUAAAAAUAAAUGCGGAAAAUAAAAAGCACACCGAGAUUUACGUGGGAAAACUCCAACUUGGAGAAAAACCCACGGGACCAACACGCGAAAAAAUAAUUCACUAAGAGAAAAGAUUACAAGGUGAUUACCGACUCCACGGACUCAACCUCUCUUAACCUCCUAUGAAUCUCGCGCAAUCCUCCGGGUUGUCCACGCCCUCACGUUCGAAUCCACGAACGCCUCGCACACGUCCGAAUCCACGAACGCCACUCGAAUCCACGAGCCCACGAUCCGAAUCCACGAACCGCCGUCAAACAUGCCGAAUCCACGACGCCGUCAUGAAGAACAUCAUGUGUAUGGUGAUCCUUUGCUCAGAGUAUCGAUGAAAACCAGGGAAGCGAACUCCAAGCGAAGCGG
rnacentral:lncRNA from 1 species